UAGUUAAUGAACUUGUAUAUAAGUAUAUGUUUUGAAAACAUAAAAAAGAUUAAAUCUAUUAACU
rnacentral:tRNA from 1 species